UACGAAGGGGGGCUAGCGUUGCUCGGAAUUACUGGGCGUAAAGCGCACGUAGGCGGUCUUUUAAGUCAGGGGUGAAAUCCUGGAGCUCAACUCCAGAACUGCCUUUGAUACUGAGGAUCUUGAGUUCGGGAGAGGUGAGUGGAACUGCGAGUGUAGAGGUGAAAUUUCGUAGAUAUUCGCAAGAACACCAGUGGCGAAGGCGGCUCACUGGCCCGAUACUGACGCUGAGGCACGAAAGCGUGGGGGAAGCAAACAGGG
rnacentral:rRNA from 1 species